rnacentral:rRNA from 1 species
GAUGAACGCUGGCGGCGUGCCUAAUACAUGCAAGUCGAGCGAAUGGAUUAAGAGCUUGCUCUUAUGAAGUUAGCGGCGGACGGGUGAGUAACACGUGGGUAACCUGCCCAUAAGACUGGGAUAACUCCGGGAAACCGGGGCUAAUACCGGAUAAUAUUUUGAACUGCAUGGUUCAAAAUUGAGAGGCGGCUUCGGCUGUCACUUAUGGAUGGACCCGCGUCGCAUUAGCUAGUUGGUGAGGUAACGGCUCACCAAGGCAACGAUGCGUAGCCGAACUGAGAGGGUGAUCAGCCACACUGGGACUGAGACACGGCCCAGACUCCUACGGGAGGCAGCAGUAGGGAAUCUUCCGCAAUGGACGAAAGUCUGACGGAGCAACGCGGCGUGAGUGAUGAAGGCUUUCGGGUCGUAAAACUCUGUUGUUAGGGAAGAACAAGUGCUAGUUGAAUAAGCUGGCACCUUGACGGUACCUAACCAGAAAGCCACGGCUAACUACGUGCCAGCCGCCGCAGUAA